GAUGAACGCUGGCGGCGUGCCUAAUACAUGCAAGUCGAGCGAACGGACGAGAAGCUUGCUCCUCUGACGUUAGCGGCGGACGGGUGAGUAACACGUGGAUAACCUACCUAUAAGACUGGGAUAACUUCGGGAAACCGGAGCUAAUACCAGAUAAUAUGUUGAACCGCAUGGUUCAAUAGUGAAAGACGGUUUUGCUGUCACUUAUAGAUGGAUCCGCGCUGCAUUAGCUAGUUGGUAAGGUAACGGCUUACCAAGGCAACGAUGCGUAGCCGACCUGAGAGGGUGAUCGGCCACACUGGAACUGAGACACGGUCCAGACUCCUACGGGAGGCAGCAGUAGGGAAUCUUGCGCAAAGGGCGAAAGCCUGACGGAGCAACGCCGCGUGAGUGAUGAAGGUCUUCGGAUCGUAAAACUCUGUUAUUAGGGAAGAACAGAUGUGUAAGUAACUAUGCACGUCUUGACGGUACCUAAUCAGAAAGCCACGGCUAACUACGUG
rnacentral:rRNA from 1 species